rnacentral:lncRNA from 1 species
UUUUUGGCAUUUCUAGCAAUGUCAAUCAUGAUUAAUAGCCUUCACUUCAUUUGCUUGAUUUUUUUUCACAUUGCUUGAUGUGUGCGUAUUGUUCUUGUAUAUAUAAUUGAAUAAAAAAUUCAGUUGCAAG